rnacentral:lncRNA from 1 species
GAGGAUAAGAACUAAAUGUGGUCCCAGACAAGAUCCUGGAACAGAAAAUGAACACUAAGGGAAAACUAAGGAAAUAUGAACAAGGAGAUUCCAUGAAAGGAGAAAGGCUGGCACAGCUGGUUGUUCUAUGGCCACGAGGAGAAGCAUGACAAGAGAGAAGAGAUGCCACUAGAUGAAAAGAACUCUGCAGAGAAGAGUGGAGGCCCAAACUGGGAAGUUAGGUGAGAGGAG